GCCCUGCGGUAAAUGGGCCUCCCGUGCAAAUAAAUUCGGCCUUUUUUGAAUUUUUUGUCCGGCCCAGCUAGAGCCCGAGAAGCCACGGCUGCCACGCUGCGUCUCGCUACUCACACACCCAAACGCGAACCCUAGAAGCCGAAAACGCCAUUCUAUCUCGUCUCUUUCUCCCCAAAUCGUUUCCCACAAAAACUUGGCGGCGGCGGCGGCGGCGGCGCCCAAUCCACCCCUUGGCUCCCAUCCAGCUCCACCGCGGCCGUGCUUUUCCCCCCUCCACGGCCUCCUGGGGCGCUCCCUGUCAUGGCCGGUGUUGCAAGGGGGAUGGGGCGGGGUGAUGGCGACGGAGAUGACGAGCCGCGAACUGUAGGGAUGGCUAUCGUCGCCAGCGUUCGUGGCGCGGGCCGUGCGUCUAUCACCGUCGGUCAGGGCAGAGGGGAUGUGUUCCUUCAUGGCCAACCGAGCAGAUCCGGAGGCAGAGGGCAUGGCAAUGGCAGUGCGACCAUCCCCGUCGACAGUUCGUCAGGAGGAGGACAAUCCACAGGAUUCACGGAUGACAUCAAUCGGAGCGGAUAUGCCACCGGCGGGGCUCGUUAUGGUGGCAUAAGCAGAGGCCCGGAGGUUCCAUUGCCAAUUCCAACACCAAAGAAAGGUAAUGCAAAUGAUGUAACAAAUAUAUGGUGUCAUGGAAAAUCAUUGGAAGGAAAUGCAUGGUCUUGUUCUUAUUGUGGGGCUGUUAAACUUGGUGGGGGUGCAACCCGAUUCAAGCAGCAUCUAGCAGGACUGGCCCUGAGUGUUACUCUUGCCUGAGUGCGCCUCAUCAUGUAGUUGCUGUUUUUCGGAAAGGCAUUCCGGAGGGAAUUGAUAGGAGGAGGAAGGCCAAAGAAGGAAAGAAAAGAGUAGUAGAUGAGGUCAACCAUCUGAACAAUGUAGGUACAUCAAUACAUAUUGAUUGUGAAGAUGAGGACAAUGAGAUACUACGACAGACCCUACAGAAUUCAUUACAUGAAGAUCAUGGGAGAACUAGUGGUGUUAGAGGAACUGUAGGCAGCUCAGGGGGUGUCAAAGGGAGCAGCUCAGGUGGUGUCAAAGACUUCUUUGAUGUUGAUUUGGCAUAUAGCAAGACUAGGCCGCAGCAGACAAUGGAGGUGUGUAUUAACAAGGCGGAAUAUGAAUCAAGGAUUGGGAAGGCUUGGGCCAAAUGGUUUCACGCUAAUGACAUCCCUGGGCACAAAGCCAAUUGUCCAUAUUUUGUAGGAGCCGUGAAAUUGACUCAAGACCUUGGCAAAGGGGUGCCUGCCCCUAAAGGGAUAGAUAUUGAUGGAAUUUAUUUGAAUUCCAACUAUGAAGAAUUGCAGCAGUAUGUGGCCAAGUUCAAAGACGAUUGGCCCACCUAUGGUGUUACUAUCAUGUCAGAUUCGUGGACCGGCCCUUCUCGGAUGAGCAUUAUAAAUUUUAUGGUGUUCUCCAACGGGCGUAUGUAUUUCCACAAAUCUGUUAAUGCCACUGGACACAUGCAAAAUCCUAAGUUUGUUUAUGAGCACAUUAAAGAAGUGAUCGAAGAGAUAGGGCAGGAACAUGUUGUCCAGCUUGUGACCGACAAUGGCUCUAACUUCAAGAAAGCAUGUCUUGAUCUUGUUGUCGAUUUCCCACACAUCACAUGGCAGCCAUGUGCGGCUCACACAAUUAACCUCAUGUUAAAGGAGAUGGGAUGUUUUCCUGAGAUUAAUACAGUGGUCAACAGUUGUAAGAGAAUCUGUAGAUUCAUGUACAAUCAUUCAACUUUGCCUUCAAUCCGGUUGUCAUAGAGGUGGGAGUGGGACAAAGAAAGAGAUCUAGAGCAAGUAGGAUGGAAGAGGAGGAAGAGGAAGAAGAGGAAGAAGAGGAGGAACGGGAGGAAGAGGAAGAGGAGGAAGAUGAGGAAGAUGAGGAAGAAGCUAAUAAUGAUGUGAUGCUUCCCAACAACAAUGAACCUUUGCGGAAGUCUACUAGGAAGAGGAGGAAGAGGACGCUCGAUUCUCUGUAAGGGUUGAGGAAGGAGACUUGCAAGUCUAAAAGGAAAUCGAAUGGCCGGUUUGUUGCUCGAUGAUAUGGACUGUGGACUAUGGACUGAAUUUAUUUUGUUGUGGGACUGUAAUAUGGACUAUGGACUGAAUUUAUUUUGUUGUGGGACUGUAAUAUGGACUAUGGACUGAGUUUAUUUUGUUGUCGGACUGCUAUGUGUAGCUUCAUGUGAACUUUUAAUCUUAAGUCUAGUUUCUAAAGUCUGAACUAUGUUGCUGUUGGUCAUUAUGUUCCUAGAUGUGUUGUUGGUCUCUGAAAUAUAGUUUGUUGCUAUAUGUGUUGUGUAAACUUGCUUGAUAUGCUAUAUAUAUAGCAGGCAAGCUGUCAAAAAUUCAAAUUUUUUAGUUUUUGGUCCCAAAAAUUUGAAUUCAAAAUUUGAAAUAAAAUUUCGUCCGAA